rnacentral:rRNA from 1 species
GGGUUGUGAGGUUAAGCGACUAAGCGUACACGGUGGAUGCCCUGGCAGUCAGAGGCGAUGAAGGGCGUGCUAAUCUGCGAUAAGCGCCGGUAAGGUGAUAUGAACCGUUAUAACCGGCGAUACCCGAAUGGGGAAACCCAGUGUGAUUCGUCACACUAUCAUUAACUGAAUCCAUAGGUUAAUGAGGCGAACCGGGGGAACUGAAACAUCUAAGUACCCCGAGGAAAAGAAAUCAACCGAGAUUCCCCCAGUAGCGGCGAGCGAACGGGGAGGAGCCCAGAGCCUGAAUCAGCAUGUGUGUUAGUGGAAGCGUCUGGAAAGGCGCGCGAUACAGGGUGACAGCCCCGUACACAAAAGCGCAUGUGCUGUGAGCUCGAUGAGUAGGGCGGGACACGUGGUAUCCUGUCUGAAUAUGGGGGGACCAUCCUCCAAGGCUAAAUACUCCUGACUGACCGAUAGUGAACCAGUACCGUGAGGGAAAGGCGAAAAGAACCCCGGCGAGGGGAGUGAAAAAGAACCUGAAACCGUGUACGUACAAGCAGUGGGAGCACAGGUUUACCUGUGUGACUGCGUACCUUUUGUAUAAUGGGUCAGCGACUUAUAUUCUGUAGCAAGGUUAACCGUAUAGGGGAGCCGGAGGGAAACCGAGUCUUAACCGGGCGUUAAGUUGCAGGGUAUAGACCCGAAACCCGGUGAUCUAGCCAUGGGCAGGUUGAAGGUUGGGUAACACUAACUGGAGGACCGAACCGACUAAUGUUGAAAAAUUAGCGGAUGACCUGUGGCUGGGGGUGAAAGGCCAAUCAAACCGGGAGAUAGCUGGUUCUCCCCGAAAGCUAUUUAGGUAGCGCCUCGUGAAUUCAUCUCCGGGGGUAGAGCACUGUUUCGGCUAGGGGGCCAUCCCGGCUUACCAACCCGAUGCAAACUGCGAAUACCGGAGAAUGUUAUCACGGGAGACACACGGCGGGUGCUAACGUCCGUCGUGAAGAGGGAAACAACCCAGACCGCCAGCUAAGGUCCCAAAGUCAUGGUUAAGUGGGAAACGAUGUGGGAAGGCCCAGACAGCCAGGAUGUUGGCUUAGAAGCAGCCAUCAUUUAAAGAAAGCGUAAUAGCUCACUGGUCGAGUCGGCCUGCGCGGAAGAUGUAACGGGGCUAAACCAUGCACCGAAGCUGCGGCAGCGACACUUAUGUGUUGUUGGGUAGGGGAGCGUUCUGUAAGCCUGUGAAGGUGGCCUGUGAGGCAUGCUGGAGGUAUCAGAAGUGCGAAUGCUGACAUAAGUAACGAUAAAGCGGGUGAAAAGCCCGCUCGCCGGAAGACCAAGGGUUCCUGUCCAACGUUAAUCGGGGCAGGGUGAGUCGACCCCUAAGGCGAGGCCGAAAGGCGUAGUCGAUGGGAAACGGGUUAAUAUUCCCGUACUUGGUGUUACUGCGAAGGGGGGACGGAGAAGGCUAUGUUGGCCGGGCGACGGUUGUCCCGGUUUAAGCGUGUAGGCUGGUUUUCCAGGCAAAUCCGGAAAAUCAAGGCUGAGGCGUGACGACGAGGCACUACGGUGCUGAAGCAACAAAUGCCCUGCUUCCAGGAAAAGCCUCUAAGCAUCAGGUAACAUCAAAUCGUACCCCAAACCGACACAGGUGGUCAGGUAGAGAAUACCAAGGCGCUUGAGAGAACUCGGGUGAAGGAACUAGGCAAAAUGGUGCCGUAACUUCGGGAGAAGGCACGCUGACACGUAGGUGAAGUGAUUUACUCAUGGAGCUGAAGUCAGUCGAAGAUACCAGCUGGCUGCAACUGUUUAUUAAAAACACAGCACUGUGCAAACACGAAAGUGGACGUAUACGGUGUGACGCCUGCCCGGUGCCGGAAGGUUAAUUGAUGGGGUCAGCGCAAGCGAAGCUCCUGAUCGAAGCCCCGGUAAACGGCGGCCGUAACUAUAACGGUCCUAAGGUAGCGAAAUUCCUUGUCGGGUAAGUUCCGACCUGCACGAAUGGCGUAAUGAUGGCCAGGCUGUCUCCACCCGAGACUCAGUGAAAUUGAACUCGCUGUGAAGAUGCAGUGUACCCGCGGCAAGACGGAAAGACCCCGUGAACCUUUACUAUAGCUUGACACUGAACAUUGAGCCUUGAUGUGUAGGAUAGGUGGGAGGCUUUGAAGCGUGGACGCCAGUCUGCGUGGAGCCGACCUUGAAAUACCACCCUUUAAUGUUUGAUGUUCUAACGUGGACCCGUAAUCCGGGUUGCGGACAGUGUCUGGUGGGUAGUUUGACUGGGGCGGUCUCCUCCUAAAGAGUAACGGAGGAGCACGAAGGUUGGCUAAUCCUGGUCGGACAUCAGGAGGUUAGUGCAAUGGCAUAAGCCAGCUUGACUGCGAGCGUGACGGCGCGAGCAGGUGCGAAAGCAGGUCAUAGUGAUCCGGUGGUUCUGAAUGGAAGGGCCAUCGCUCAACGGAUAAAAGGUACUCCGGGGAUAACAGGCUGAUACCGCCCAAGAGUUCAUAUCGACGGCGGUGUUUGGCACCUCGAUGUCGGCUCAUCACAUCCUGGGGCUGAAGUAGGUCCCAAGGGUAUGGCUGUUCGCCAUUUAAAGUGGUACGCGAGCUGGGUUUAGAACGUCGUGAGACAGUUCGGUCCCUAUCUGCCGUGGGCGCUGGAGAACUGAGGGGGGCUGCUCCUAGUACGAGAGGACCGGAGUGGACGCAUCACUGGUGUUCGGGUUGUCAUGCCAAUGGCACUGCCCGGUAGCUAAAUGCGGAAGAGAUAAGUGCUGAAAGCAUCUAAGCACGAAACUUGCCCCGAGAUGAGUUCUCCCUGAGACUUAGAGUCUCCUGAAGGAACGUUGAAGACGACGACGUUGAUAGGCCGGGUGUGUAAGCGCAGCGAUGCGUUGAGCUAACCGGUACUAAUGAACCGUGAGGCUUAACCUUACAACGCCGAAG